AAUAAGUACAAUUUUAUAUUAUUUAUGUUCUACGUUUGACCGUCCAUCUUAUUUAAAAAUUUUAUAUAAUUAGUUUUUUAUUGUUAUUAGAUAAUAAAACAUGAAUAAUAUUUUAUGCGUAACUAAUUUUUUUAAUUUUUUCAUAAUUUUUUUUUAAAUAAGAUAGACGGUCGAACGUUGGAUACGGAUAUCCACGGUUACGCUUAUU
rfam:Oryza punctata chromosome 4, whole genome shotgun sequence.